UGCAGUCGAUGAUGAAGCCCUUCGGGGUGGAUUAGUGGCGAACGGGUGAGUAACACGUGUGCAAUCUGCCCUGCACUCUGGGACAAGCCCUGGAAACGGGGUCUAAUACCGGAUAUGACCAUCUUGGGCAUCCUUGAUGGUGUAAAGCUCCGGCGGUGCAGGAUGAGCCCUCGGCCUAUCAGCUUGUUGGUGAGGUAAUGGCUCACCAAGGCGACGACGGGUAGCCGGCCUGAGAGGGCGACCGGCCACACUGGGACUGAGACACGGCCCCUUCUCCUACGGGAGGCAGCAGUGGGGAAUAUUGCACAAUGGGCGAAAGCCUGAUGCAGCGACGCCGCGUGAGGGAUGACGGCCUUCGGGUUGUAAACCUCUUUCAGCAGGGAAGAAGCGAAAGUGACGGUACCUGCAGAAGAAGCGCCGGCUAACUACGUGCCAGCAGCCGCGGUAAUACGUAGGGCGCAAGCGUUGUCCGGAAUUAUUGGGCGUAAAGAGCUCGUAGGCGGCUUGUCACGUCGAUUGUGAAAGCUCGGGGCUUAACCCCGAGUCUGCAGUCGAUACGGGCUAGCUAGAGUGUGGUAGGGGAGAUCGGAAUUCCUGGUGUAGCGGUGAAAUGCGCAGAUAUCAGGAGGAACACCGGUGGCGAAGGCGGAUCUCUGGGCCAUUACUGACGCUGAGGAGCGAAAGCGUGGGGAGCGAACAGGAUUAGAUACCCUGGUAGUCCACGCCGUAAACGGUGGGAACUAGGUGUUGGCGACAUUCCACGUCGUCGGUGCCGCAGCUAACGCAUUAAGUUCCCCGCCUGGGGGAGUACGGCCGCAAGGCUAAAACUCAAAGGAAUUGACGGGGGCCCGCA
rnacentral:rRNA from 1 species